rnacentral:rRNA from 1 species
UCAGGAUGAACGCUGGCGGCGUGCUUAACACAUGCAAGUCGAACGAAGUCAGCCUCGGGUUGGUUAGUGGCGGACGGGUGCGUAACACGUAGGUGACCUGCCCUAAAGUGGGGAAUAACUCCGCUAACGCGGAGCUAAUACCGCAUAUGGUUACUCAUUCGAUUGGGUAACUAAAGUCGUAAGAUGCUUUAGGAUGGGCCUGCGGCGGAUUAGCUAGUUGGUGGGGUAAUGGCCUACCAAGGCGAUGAUCCGUAGGGGGCGUGAGAGCGUGACCCCCCACAUUGGCACUGAGACACGGGCCAAACUCCUACGGGAGGCAGCAGUGAGGAAUAUUGCACAAUGGGCGAAAGCCUGAUGCAGCAACGCCGCGUGAGGGACGAAGGCCUUCGGGUCGUAAACCUCUUUUCUGAGGGACGAGACAAGGACGGUACCUCAGGAAUAAGUCUCGGCUAACUACGUGCCAGCCGCCGC